UUCUUUUAGGUCAUAUGUCAACACCUAAAACAAAUAGAUAACAUGUGAGAGAAAUGUGUUAGGUAUAUUACACUAUGAUUAGUUCUUUUGUUAAAGGACCACGCACCACUAUCAUUAUCCACGUUACACACGGUUUGAACUUAAAGAAGAUCGCAUGUUCCACUAUCUUUUUUGUUGUUGUUUGUCCUCCUCAAUUGAACAAUUUGC